rnacentral:tRNA from 1 species
UCCUGUUUGGCUAAGUUGGUAGAGCAUGGUGCUUGCAAUGCCAAUGUUGUGGGUUUGAUUCCCACAGGGGAC